UUAAUUGAAGAGUUUGAUCAUGGCUCAGAUUGAACGCUGGCGGCAGGCCUAACACAUGCAAGUCGAGCGGUAACAGGAGAAAGCUUGCUUUCUUGCUGACGAGCGGCGGACGGGUGAGUAAUGUAUGGGGAUCUGCCCGAUAGAGGGGGAUAACUACUGGAAACGGUGGCUAAUACCGCAUAAUGUCUACGGACCAAAGCAGGGGCUCUUCGGACCUUGCACUAUCGGAUGAACCCAUAUGGGAUUAGCUAGUAGGUGGGGUAAAGGCUCACCUAGGCGACGAUCUCUAGCUGGUCUGAGAGGAUGAUCAGCCACACUGGGACUGAGACACGGCCCAGACUCCUACGGGAGGCAGCAGUGGGGAAUAUUGCACAAUGGGCGCAAGCCUGAUGCAGCCAUGCCGCGUGUAUGAAGAAGGCCUUAGGGUUGUAAAGUACUUUCAGCGGGGAGGAAGGUGAUAAGGUUAAU
rnacentral:rRNA from 1 species